AUGACACAGUUCUAGAGACUGCGGACUUAGGCGGUUUUACAUAAGCUUUAGCGAGCACCGGAAGAAGCAAGCUGGUUAAGUAAUAGAAAUGCGGACCAGAACUUGUGCCUGGGGCUACUCGCAGAGUCAGCAGGAUUUCAAAGAUUCACUGGUCCACAGCUAAGCCAUGUUUCUUCUGAGGCCUUUUAUUCUCAUCCCUGCCAGCGCUGACCUCCCUCAUGAGGAGCAUGAAGUGCAGGGUGGGUGUUUAGCAGGAUCGUUUUAUCAUCCUCUCCAACCACAGGGGAAACUGAGGCUUUUGAAACUCAGGUUGGAUGCUGAGUAAUCACGGCUGUGUGUGUCAACAAGCAAGGGAGGUGACCGCCAUUUCUCCUUCCCCUUAAGGGUUGUUUGCCCUUGCACCCAUGAGAGAUGGCUUCUGCUUCAGUUCUUUGCUUCAAUACCUCCUAUUCACUGAAUCCUUAAAGGAAACAUUUAGCUACCGCUGCACAUAAGUUGGUUGCAUAAUAGGAAAGAAACGAGCCAGGGCUGGAGACCUCAUCUCCACGGAAGCAUUGUAAGGCCAGCGAGGGCUGUUUUACAGAGCCAGCCAUGACUUGGGACUCCCUCUAUACCCUUUCAUCACCAUGACAACAGGCAGCUCCUACUUCACACAUCCAGGAAAAGCAGCUGACAUCUCAAUGCUAAGAACACAGGGGAGAGGUUUACAAAAAAACCACAACAACCACCACCAAAAAAGUCUUUUUGUUUGCCUGUCAACAGAGAGAACACCCCCCCAGAGUAAGUCAAAACCUCUAUUCUUGCCUUCAAGAAAGAUCUGAAAGGAAAGUGUUGGGGCUUUUUCCCCUGGUCCAAGGGGGCCCCUCAAGCAGGACCCACUGCAGACUGGCAUGGCUCCUCCGAGUCUCCGGAAGGGCUGGCACCGAGAAUACUCCCUUGACUUAGACUUGGCCAUUGCAGAAGCUGCUAAAUGACAGAGCAGUGAGACUUAACAGAUACCUUGUGCUGAGGCCCUGAGAUGGUUUCCUUUACAUUUCUUUGAAUAAAGGAAAGAUAACUUAGAUAAUCUUUCCUUCUUCCUUCAUAACUUUGCUACUAGAAGCCUUAUUCCAAGUUCAUAAUAGAUAGUUUAGGGUAUGGGAUUUCCAGUGGUGGUUGGUAAAUUUUUUGGUGAGUCUAGUGUUCUGGUCGGGGCCGUACUUACUUGUGUUUAAUAAAUACCUCAUCUGAUUCUUAUAACAAAAUCACCGGUGGGUAUCCUUUGCCUAAGAGAUGGUUAGCUGAAGCCUGGAGGUGUGACAUGAUGGCUAAGCUCACAGAGCUUGCAGCAGCGCGCGCGUGUGUGUGUGUGUGUGUGUGUGUGUGUGUGUGUGUGUGUGUGUGUGUUGGGGUUGGUACUCAGGUGUAUCUAUCAGACUUGGCAGCCUUAUCUGUCCACUCUCUAUGCUGUCUUGGAGACUUCAGUCUGCUUUCUGAAGAUUGUUAGAGCAGAGCAUACAAGUACAAGGGGGAGCCUAGCGUCCACACCCUUUUCAGAGUUUAAGUAGUGAAAUAUAGCCAGACCAAUACUUUCAUAUUUGCUAUCAUCAAUAUAUACGAGGCAUACAUCCAUUUUCCAGCUCAUUCUCCCAUUCAAUCUCUGCAGUAUCUAUUGAUUUUAUGAUUCUGAUUCAUGGUUACAACAAAGGGUUCUUAUGACAAAGUCAUUUGCGCAGAGUCCCUGGGCUAUUUCUUGUGACACUUCGCAUGCAGAUAAACCAUGCCUAUGUAGUCUAACAGAAGUCAGAGCUGUAUGGUCAUCAUGUAUGAACCAGGGCCCUUUUCAUCUUUCUCAUGUUAAUUGCAUUGGCUGUCUUUGAGGCAGUCACUUUUGUGCAGAGUUCUGUAAAUCCUUUGAUGUUCAUGACAAAGAGACAGGCUGUGGCUAGGUGGUGGUCCUAUCACCCCGGGAGCCUCUGCAGAAGGCAUCCUGGGAGACCCGUAAGAGCUUCUCCUGGAUUUAUGGCUUUUUUUUUCUUUUUUUUUUCACCCACUAAAGAUUGUUCCGUGGUGAUAAGAAAGUCCAACACACCUCAAGCCUUUUGACAAGUUGUUUGUGUUAUCCAACAUGUUUUGGACAUUGAGCUCAACUUAACCAAAGCAACCACGUCCAUGUCUGGCUGCAAGUCAGCUGAGAAAGAACAGGAGUCAAGAGAGAAUGUAAGGGACAUUCUCGAGUUCCCCAGAUGCUCCACCGCGCACCUCAUCUGUCGCCACUAUUUAUUGUUUUACUGUGGGCCUGUGCCAUAACAGCCUGCUGGCAAGACACUGAAGGGCAAGGAAACCACCCCAGAGUUCUAACUGCUCAAUGGCUCUUUGGAAAAAAGUGGGGGUGGGGGCACGAUCUUCAAACAACGCACACAUUCUUUCCCCAGAUGUGGGAAGUCGUGUCCGGUGAUUGACAAGCAGAGGAAACAGACUGCUCUACCUGAUUGGACUUCACUUAGACGAUCCAAACUUUAAAUCUUUCCUAAGAAUGGGGUGGGGGGUGUCUUUAAGAAAAACAAAGGAAACCAGUCAGAAACAAAGAUUUAGUGGAGCGAGCUGUAAACUGAAAACAAAACCCUGGGAUCUAAGAGAAAGGAGAGGGUAAAAUUUUUUUCUCCCCACUGCGGGUACAUUUCUAUUCUGUGUGGCUGGAGUCUGCCCCAGAGGAGUCUGCAAUGUCAAGGUGGCACAUUUAACCUCUUUGCAGACAAAAAGCACUGCAGAUGAGACUAUACUGCAGGACUUCUCUCGGGUACUUUUUCAACUGUAUUGAUUGGCAGCUGCAAGCAGGGUUAUAGUUUUCUACUGCAGGGUGAUCUUGUUCCUGAAGGAAUGAGCGAGAAAGGCUCGCAGGAAGUGCUGUAUUGGGGAAGGUGCAGAUGGGAGGACCUUCUCAAAGACAGCACAGUUGUUAGCCCUGACUUCUCCUUUAGCAUUGUGUUUUUCUAGAGAGGAUGUAAUGAGGAACCGGGCAUAUUCCCUGUCCCCUUGUCACCUCUUAACAAAUGAUAGGUAGCAGGAGGAGAGAGAUCUGUGAAAACUGUGAGGGAAAGGAUAAUAUGAAAGUAACCGAAGAAGAAUGUACUGUUAGAGAUAUUUCCUAACUGAAAAACAAACAAACAAACAAACAAAGCAUUCUACUUCUACACAGCUGUCAGGCCCAUGACAGUGACAGAUACAGUUAGGUAAUUUAAACAUGGCAAACACACAUUUUUUAAAAUUUUGAAAUCUAUACUUCUGGUUUGGCCAUUACGAAAACUAUGGUUUAUUAGUGCUCGACAUUUAAUUUUGUAGGAGGAAAAGAGACAUGGCCACACAAAGUAAAAUUCUCCUUUUUCCUUCAUAUAAAUCACUCCAAAUGGGAUUAUAAAAAUAAACACAUGGCUUUGAAUUAUUUAAGCAGAAUCAUCAAGCAGUCUUUUUAGAUCAGGGAAGUCAGUUUAACGCAUGCAGUUGGGCAAUAUAAGCAAAUUUAACAUUUACCUGCGGAGAGGUGGCUGGAUCCAGAGCCUUGGUAGCUUGAAGCCGAAGUUGAGUCCCCUCCUUGCACACAGCCAGGAGGUAAAAGUUUGACAAAUGCCCAAGAGGAGCUAGCUCUUCCACCCCCCUCCCUCGUCAGCUUGGCUGCUUUGCCUAGAAGCACAUUCACGUUUAUUGGAGUUGAAAUUCUGCUGCUCUGUCAGCCAGUCAGGGUCUGAAGUGACAGAUGAGAAUUUGGAGGUUGGCACCACAGGGUGUUUCAGGCUGUCAUGGUUUCUGUUGCAGAUUCCUGGAUCUCGCUCCCUCCGUGCUGCUGAGCUUUGCAGCAGAGCAGACCCAGAGGGAGAGAGCUAAUUCUGCAGCAUGCAUGGAGUGAACGGCCCUCCCCUAGCCUCUCCUCCUCAUAGGCUCCUAACUUGGCCAGAGUGUAAGCAUUUGGCUCUUCAUGCAAUUUUUUUUUUUCAAACAACUCUGAGAGAUCGUAUGAUUGGGAUCCCUUGGGGCUUGUGACUCUGAGACACUGCAGAGAGGCUUCACACUCUUGUUUAUUCCUAGGGCGACUGCAAAGCCAGGGUGAAAGGACAGAAGGAUCACUGCAGCAGAUGCGUUUUUAUAUUGCUCGAUUGGAAGCUGUCCUCAUGACCGCAGUCUGAACGUUAACAGAGAACCGUUCCGGCUGCUUUAACCGUCCUACUCGUAAGCAGCUCUGGAAAAUGAAGUUGCUGCUCUUUAGAGCAUGCUGAUUUAGAGAAGCUGUGAUUCAUAGCCUGCUCUUGCCCAGCCCAGUCAGUCAUCCUCUGUAAGCCUAUGAUGGCACCGGGCUGUACAAGAAGAGGUCUUCCUGUGUGCUUAUUUCUGACUUUGCACUGUGGCAUUCAUCUAUCAAGGCAUGUAAAUAUUUAUUUAUUUAUUUAUUUAUUUAUUUAUUUAUUUACCUGGCCCCGAGCUAAUCUGGAACCCACAGAGAUCCGUCUGCCUCUGCCUCCUGGGUACUAAGUUUAGAGGAGCAGCAGUAGGCCUGGCUCUGCUUCUGUAUAUGUAUGUGUGUAAUCAUUUCAAUGGUUGUGUCUGUAUUUAUUGCACAUUUAUCGUGUGUCGGACCCUGCGCUAACAGCUUUCAAUGCAUCGUGUUCGUGGAGUCUGACAAGUCUUUGGAGGUUUUACUACGUUCCCAUUUUAAAGAUAGUACAGAGUAAUGUUAACUGUACAGGAUUUAAGGACAGGCAGCUUGGAUUUUCUUCUUGACUUUCCCACACCCUAACUGUACACCCAGGAGCUAGUAAUAACCUCUCUCAGCAUCUGCUUUCUUAUUUAUAAAAUGAGGCUACAGAUAUAGGAGGAGUGAUUAUAAGGUCUAUCACAGGCAAUUGUUCUGAGUUUCAAUAAUUUGAUGCAAACCAACUGCAUAAAACUCCUGCCAUGUAGUAGACACUCAACAAAUGUUAACUAUUUUGGUUUAUGUCAGACGACAGCAACGUUCGCUUUCUCCCGGGUCUCUAACUGUAAUAGCAAGGUGGUACUCUCCUUGCCUCCCGCCUGUGUUAGCCAACUGAGCAGGCAUUUCGCUGAGGAAGAGAUACUGCCCCCCCACCCCCUUCUCCAGGUGACUAGCCCAAAUGCUUCUGAUACUAUACACUCUCCACUAACACUGGAUGAGAAGUUGUUAUUUAACGUAAUUUAGGCUCUCUGAGUGUGUGACAAAGUCAACAGGCAACCAGACUGAUAAAAGCAAAAGCCAAGUGAAGCAAAUAAAAACCCUGAGCUAUACAAGUUUGCAGACGUGCCUCAGCCGGUUCGCUCUACGGACCCCAGAACAUUCGUCGCACUGAUUUUCAGAAUGAGAAAGGUAACAGAACUUAUCUCUGUCGUGCAGCAGGGAAGUCUGGGAGCAGAGGAAGCCGGGCAGUGAGCCAGAGCCCUUCCAGCUGGGAAGGGCGCACGUGUCUGGGAUCAGGAUUAUAGAAAGGGCCGAGGAUGUGACGUCUUGAAGCCUCAGACAAUGGGAUGUUUUUUCCUCAGCUCAGGUUUGGAGUGUGAGCAGCUCCUCUGAGGAAGGGACAAGGGUUUGUUUCUUCCAGGGCCUCUGCACACAUCUGCACGCUUCUCUCUGGUCUUAGCAGCAUAGAGGAUGCUGGCGCCAUUCUGCGAUGGUGUCCCGAGGGAUCAUGGAGCAGCGAGACCAGCCAGGCCAUAUAGAAAAUGAUUUGACUUUUUUGGUUAAAGAAUUUUCUCAAAGACUUCGAACAUUAACUUAUUUUAACUAGCAUUCUCCAUUUAUUUGAGACGGCUUUAUGAGUUUGAUUCCACGUAAUGAGAUUAAUUCCAUGAGAACAAAGAGAAAGAUUUAGUUGGAGAGUGCUUAAAAAACCCAAAACAUCUUGACCCAACUCAAAAUUUUUUUUCUAAUACUGAAUUUGACAUAUUUGUUGGAAUGCUGAAAACAAAGUUCCUUGCAGACAGAUUGUUCACGGAAAACUGGAAUUAAGGCCUAAAUGUAAUUUAUGUCUGAUGAGAGCAGGUCUCAUUUCUAAGAUUGGGGAUUUUCACUCAGUUGUAUGACUAGAGAGAUCUCCUGUUCAGGGAUGAGAACUUUAGGGUACUGUAAUAUAUAAUGACAAACUCACACACAGGAUGUAAGAGAAUACUGACUAAAACAGACAAAGGCGUGUUGACUUAAUGGUGUUGUUAAGCACGGUUUUAUUUUGGGAAUGUUCCCUGGCAGAGACCCAAGCUCUUACUGUUUCAUGGCACUGUCAUGUCUAGAACAGUUUACAGCUUUCCAUGCUGGGAACAAGGAACCUACAACAAUAGCCACCUCACAGAUGGAGCUGGAAGCCAGACCCAGAAAGUUUACAGCGCCCCUCUAUGAGGGUUAGCAGAACCUCAAUAAAGAGUAGACUUUAUGGUUGCGUGUGAGAUGGCACCAGGGUGUCAUCUUUGGUCAGGAGAUCCCACAAAGAGCCAACAUAGCGAUCUUUUGGGCCAGCAGAGUUAAGAUGUCUGUGGAUCAUCUCCAGUUUCCUGCCCCACUCAGGCCUUCCAGCAAGGUUAGGAACCCUAUUUCAAGGGAAAGAUUAGAGAGCACAUUUCCCCCAAGGUUUUUGUUCCAUAACCAUGGCCUCUGGAUGUGGGGCAAAUGGAACUGUGUCACCAGACAGAAAAGCUGACCCAGAUGGUUUAGCCAAUAAGCUUCCCUUCCUGGACAUUCCUUCCUGUAAAAGGUAUUCAAUCUUUAGUCCGCCCUUAGUACCUGGUAUUCAUCCAUUUUCCAACGUGAAUAAACUGUUUGAAUAAGCAAGGACCAUCUCUCUCAUCAAGAACUGCCCUGUCGGGAGCCUUUGUUACCAAGCUGUGCAGCCUAAGUCUCUUGCAGAAGGCCUCUCUGCACACCUGACACACCUUGAGCUAAGCCACACCACCCCUCCUUCCCCCCCCCCUCCCCGUGUCCUGGACUCAUCACAGGCCUGCAGCCCAUUCUCAACUCCUAGUGGCAUAUGAGUACAUGGGAGUUAGAGAACCACCCAACUUAGACUUUGUUCAGCCUCCCCUGUGUGUGUGUUGGCACCCUGAUGGCGACAAGGAAGGCCUAGUGCCUCUGAGUUUUGAUUCCCUGAGCGACAUUCACACACCCCAGCAGCGAGGCAAAAUGCAGACCCACAUCUGGACUGUAGAUUCCACCAUCCCCAAACCAAAAAAUAACAUUCAUAAAACGUGUCAUUAUUGAACAUGCAUAGACAUUUUUCUCAUCAUUGCUUCUAAACAGCUCAGUACAAUAACUAUUUACUUGGCAUUGACACUGAAUUGGAUACUAUAAAUGAUCUAAAGUUGAUUUAGAGUGUGCAAUAUGAUGUGCAUGAGUUAUACGCAGGUACUCCCCUGUUGUACAAAGGGACUGGCACAAUCACGACUUGGUAUCUGUGGGUACUGCAAAGAGUGCCUGCGGAUGCAGAGGAAUGGCCAAAAUCAAUCUUCAAGCAUGCAAUAGACUUCUUUGUUUUUCUGCUUAAGCGUUGGAGUGACCUAAGAGUACUAUGAAGACCUUGCCUAUUGGGAGCCUGGGCACAACCACUGUUAGAGUGUAGCACUGUUCCUUGAGAGGAGUAGAGGUAUCAUAUCAGGUAGGAGGUAAGCAGGCGUGAAGGAAGGAUGCUGGGAAAACAAUGUCCACAGCAAUGGGGCUGCUUGCCCUCUAGGACAUUCACACUACUCUGCUAGGACUCCCAUUGUUAUCAUUCUGUCUAGGCUCCGUCCCACAGUUACCUGGCAACAGACUCACUAUAAAACAAUAGACUCACUAUAAAACAAUAGACUCACUAUAAAACAAUAGACUCACUAUAAAACAAUAGACUCACUAUAAAAGGGGCUGCUUGCCCCCUCCUUACUCUCUUGCUUUCUCUUGCUCUUCCCUUACCCUCUCUCCCCAUUCCCUUCCCCCCUCUCUUUCCCCAUGCUCAUGGCCAGACUCGUCUCUACUCCUGUACUUGUCUUCUCGCUCUCUCUCUCUCUCUCUCUCCCUCUCUCUCUCUCUCCUACUCUCUUAACUCCCCUUCCCAUGCCCUUAAUAAACUCUAUUCUACAGUCUACCGUCAUGUGACUGGUCCCUUGGGGGAAGGGAUGUCUCAGGAUGGGCCUGCUUGACCACACCUCCAUAAAACAUAUCUGCCCCUCUCUUUAUCUUUUUAUAAACACAUCGCCCAUAAUAAAAUACCACAAACUGUGUGGUUUAAACUACAAGUCUGGAGGCUGGACGUCCAAAUCCAAGGUGUUGCCAUGCUCCCUUUCUCUGGCUUCUCUUCUUAGCUUUCAGGGCCACAACCUCACAGUCUCAGUCCUUAUUUGUUACCUCUUCAAAGUUGUGUCUCUAAACACAGCGACAUUAGAGGUUAAAAUGUCAACAUAGAAACCUGGUGCGAGAAAUGACUUUCCCCUGUAAUACUGCACUGUGGCUUUGAUAUUCUCCUUGAUACACAUUCUCUGUGGGUCUUUGAGACUAUGCUCUGGUCUUAACUCUGGCCCAGCUCCUGACCUGUGCCUGCACCCACCACUGGAAGAUCCUGCACUGAACCAUUUGUUUGUCUCUGCUUGGUCUUCAGCCUCCUGGGUUAGCUUCUAACUGUGCACAGUGGGAGUUUACCAAGGCCUCUCUCUCAGCCAGCCCCAUCCAUGGGAACGUUCAUACUCUCUCUCUGUCAGGUCUGAAUUGAAGCCUUGACACAGAGGGGCCGGUUAACAGUAAGGGGAUGGCCAGAUGUAUGCUGAGUUUUGCUGAGUAUGGUGCGGAUAUUGCAAUUAACCACUGUUUUUCUAAGAAUCAUCCCUAAAAGCAAUAAACAAAUAGACAAAUAAAUAAUAAAAAUAAGGGGCUAGAGAGAUGGCUCAGCAGUUACCAGCACUGGCUGCUCUUCCAGAGGACCCAGGUUCAAUUCUCAGCAACCACAUGAAAGCUCUCAACUGUCUGUGACCCUAGUUCCAGGGGACUGUAGGCAGAACACCAAAGCCCAUAAAAUAAAAAUAAAUAGGUAAAUCGUAUUUUUAAAGAGUAUAUUAAUAAAAAUAGAGAAAGACUGGCUAGGAUUAGAAACUUUUUAUCUGUCAGACUGAGCAGCUAGACCUUCAUUAAUUAGGUAAAGAGACAUAGAAAAUUCAGAAGUAUAAGAGGUGCCCUGGUGUGACAAACAGCUCUCCAAUGAGAGGGACUUACAGAGGCAUGGGAUUUUAUUGCUGGUUUUUUUUUUUAAUUUGAAAUUUUUAAAAAAUGUUUUUUAAAGAUUUAUUUAUUUACUUUAUAUAUGUGAGUACACUGUAGCUGUCUUCAGACACAUCAGAAGAGGGCAUCAGAUCCCAUUACAGAUGGUUGUGAACUACCAUGUGGUUGCUGGGAAUUGAACUCAGGACCUCUGGAAGAGCAGGCAGUGCUCUUAACCAUUGAGCCAUCUUUCCAGCCCCACUGUUUUUUGUUUUUGUUUUUUAACUUGUGCUUCCUGUGUACUGCGGACCUGCUGCACUUGCACUGCGGACCUGCUGCACGGAGGACCGGCUGCACUGCAGACCCAAUGCACCGAGGAUCCGCUGCACUGCGGACCUGCUGUACUGAGGACCUGCUGCACUGAGGACCGGCUGCACUGAGGACCGACUGCACUGCAUACCCAAUGCACCAAGGACCCGCCGCACUGCGGACCCACUGCACUGCGGACCUGCUGCACUGCAGACCCGCUGCACUGCGGACCCGAUGCACUGAUGGUCCUUACGCUGGCGACCAGGAUGAUGGUCUUCCCCUUUGGGGAAGAAAAUAAAUGGCAAACAGUUCUUAGA